CUCCCGUGCAGCCAUCAGCUCAACCUCAAGGGAGCUGAUCUUGGAAGCCUAGGUCCAAGAUCGAUUACUGGCACAUUUUUGGAAUUCCUCAAGCUCCUUCACGAAGUCAGCCUUCCUCCGGGUGUAGUCCAUGAAGCCCUUUUUGUGGAGGUUCCGAAAGCGAGUAGCCUCCGCAGUGGCUUCCGAAUGGCUCUUCCUCAGUCGGUGAAGUUUGUCAUCCAACUUCUUUGAUUUCUUCGUUAGAUGACGAACUUCCCUUCUUAGAUCCCGGAUCGUCGACUUCAAAGGGAUCCCCUGUGGCAGGGGAAGAGCUUCGGCAGGUCACUGUUGUUGGGAGACAAGAGCGUCACAACACAAAUCAGUGCAAAAAAAUAAAAGAGAAGAAAAAGAAUGCAGAAUAAAAAAAGGAAGCUCUCUGUAAAGAAGAAUAUGAUUUCAUUGAUUAAAUAGUUCUUAAGUACAAGAGAAUGAAGAAAAGUCGCAACAAAGGAAAAAAUAUACAAAAUUAGAGGUUUCGGACCUCUGAGGCAGA
rnacentral:lncRNA from 1 species